GCCUUCGUAGCUCAGGGGAUAGAGCACCGCUCUCCUAAAGCGGGUGUCGCAGGUUCGAAUCCUGCCGGGGGCACCA
rnacentral:tRNA from 259 species